AAGUAUUAAUGAAAAAUCACACUUGCGUUUGGCGAAAUAUUUAUAGUAUAAAUAUUUCGCCAAACACGCGUGCGAUUUUUCAUUAAUACUUGUCGAACU